rnacentral:rRNA from 1 species
AUUGAACGCUGGCGGCAUGCCUUACACAUGCAAGUCGAACGGCAGCACGGACUUCGGUCUGGUGGCGAGUGGCGAACGGGUGAGUAAUGUAUCGGAACGUACCUUUCAGUGGGGGAUAACGUAGCGAAAGUUACGCUAAUACCGCAUAUUCUGUGAGCAGGAAAGCAGGGGAUCGCAAGACCUUGCGCUGAUUGAGCGGCCGAUAUCAGACUAGCUAGUUGGUGGGGUAAAGGCCUACCAAGGCUACGAUCUGUAGCGGGUCUGAGAGGAUGAUCCGCCACACUGGAACUGGGACACGGUCCAGACUCCUACGGGAGGCAGCAGUGGGGAAUUUUGGACAAUGGGGGCAACCCUGAUCCAGCCAUGCCGCGUGAGUGAAGAAGGCCUUCGGGUUGUAAAGCUCUUUCGGCCGGGAAGAAAUCGCAUGGGCUAAUGCCCUGUGUGGAUGACGGUACCGGAAUAAGAAGCACCGGCUAACUACGUGCCAGCAGCCGCAGUAACAC